rnacentral:tRNA from 1 species
GGCGCGCGUGCCGGAGCACUGGCGGCCGGCUGCGCCCAUGCAGCAGCAGGUGCAUCAGUGCGUCGGUUCGUGUUCGGUGCACGGCCACGCCC